GACGAACGCUGGCGGCGUGCCUAAUACAUGCAAGUCGAGCGGAAUGAUGAAGAAGCUUGCUUCUUCUGAUUUUAGCGGCGGACGGGUGAGUAACACGUGGGCAACCUACCUUGUAGAUUGGGAUAACUCCGGGAAACCGGGGCUAAUACCGAAUAAUCCAUUUUGCUUCAUGGCGAGAUGUUGAAAGACGGUUUCGGCUGUCACUACGAGAUGGGCCCGCGGCGCAUUAGCUAGUUGGUAGGGUAAUGGCCUACCAAGGCGACGAUGCGUAGCCGACCUGAGAGGGUGAUCGGCCACACUGGGACUGAGACACGGCCCAGACUCCUACGGGAGGCAGCAGUAGGGAAUCUUCCACAAUGGACGAAAGUCUGAUGGAGCAACGCCGCGUGAGUGAAGAAGGUUUUCGGAUCGUAAAACUCUGUUGUAAGGGAAGAACACGUACGAGAGUAACUGCUCGUACCUGACGGUACCUUAUUAGAAAGCCACGGCUAACUACGUG
rnacentral:rRNA from 1 species